GACGAACGCUGGCGGCGUGCCUAACACAUGCAAGUCGAACGGAGAUAUGAUUUCGGUUAUAUCUUAGUGGCGAACGGGUGAGUAACGCGUGAGCAACCUGGCCUUCAGAGGGGGAUAACAUUUGGAAACAGAUGCUAAUACCGCAUAAGACCACGACCCGACAUCGGGAUGAGGUCAAAGGAGUAAUCCGCUGAGGGAGGGGCUCGCGUCCCAUUAGAUAGAUGGCGGGGUAACGGCCCACCAUGUCGACGAUGGGUAGCCGAGCUGAGAGGCUGAUCGGCCACACUGGGACUGAGACCCGGCCCAGACUCCUACGGGAGGCAGCAGUGGGGAAUCUUGCGCAAUGGGCGAAAGCCUGACGCAGCAACGCCGCGUGGGGGAUGACGGCCUUCGGGUUGUAAACCUCUUUCGACCGGGACGAAGGAUUCGUUUGACGGUACCGGUAGAAGAAGCACCGGCUAACUACGUGCCAGCCGCCGCGGUAA
rnacentral:rRNA from 1 species